GAAGAAUCUAUUGCCCGCCAAGCCCGCCGCUUACCGGCGUCGGGGGAGGGCGGCAAGAAGAGGAAUCG
rfam:Burkholderiales bacterium RIFOXYC12_FTLL_65_23 rifoxyc3_full_scaffold_44, whole genome shotgun sequence.